CUACGGUCAUAUAGCGUUGAAACACCGGCUCCCGUACGAUCAACGAAGUUAAGCAACAUCGAGCCUGGUCAGUACCAAGAUGGGUGACCGCUUGGAAAUAUCAGGUGCUGUAAG